rnacentral:tRNA from 1 species
CGGGGUGUAGCUCAGUUUGGCUAGAGCGCUUGAUUUGGGAUCAAGAGGUCGCAAGUUCAAGUCUUGUCACUCCGACCA